GAAAAGCCUCUAAGCUUCAGAUUGUAAGGAAUCGUACCCCAAACCGACACAGGUGGUCGGGUAGAGAAUACCAAGGCGCUUGAGAGAACUCGGGUGAAGGAACUAGGCAAAAUGGUACCGUAACUUCGGGAGAAGGUACGCUCUUGAUGGUGAAGUCCCUUGCGGAUGGAGCUGACGAGAGUCGCAGAUACCAGGUGGCUGCAACUGUUUAUUAAAAACACAGCACUGUGCAAAAUCGUAAGAUGACGUAUACGGUGUGACGCCUGCCCGGUGCCGGAAGGUUAAUUGAUGGGGUUAGACUUCGGUCGAAGCUCUUGAUCGAAGCCCCGGUAAACGCGGCGUACUAAAA
rnacentral:rRNA from 1 species